rnacentral:tRNA from 1 species
GGGCCCGUAGCUCAGUCUGGCAGAGCACCGGCCUUUUAAGCCGGGCGUCGCGGGUUCAAAUCCCGUCGGGCCCA